GAUGAACGCUGGCGGCGUGCCUAAUACAUGCAAGUCGAGCGAACAGACGAGGAGCUUGCUCCUCUGACGUUAGCGGCGGACGGGUGAGUAACACGUGGAUAACCUACCUAUAAGACUGGGAUAACUUCGGGAAACCGGAGCUAAUACCGGAUAAUAUAUUGAACCGCAUGGUUCAAUAGUGAAAGACGGUUUUGCUGUCACUUAUAGAUGGAUCCGCGCCGCAUUAGCUAGUUGGUAAGGUAACGGCUUACCAAGGCAACGAUGCGUAGCCGACCUGAGAGGGUGAUCGGCCACACUGGAACUGAGACACGGUCCAGACUCCUACGGGAGACAGCAGUAGGGAAUCUUCCGCAAUGGGCGAAAGCUUGACGGAGCAACGCCGCGUGAGUGAUGAAGGUCUUCGGAUCGUAAAACUCUGUUAUUAGGGAAGAACAAAUGUGUAAGUAACUAUGCACGUCUGGACGGUACCUAAUCAGAAAGCCACGGCGAACUACGU
rnacentral:rRNA from 1 species